rnacentral:tRNA from 1 species
AGCUCGGAUCUUCGGACUGCAAAUCCGUAUUUGGGAAAAUUUUUCCCCUGGGCUU